GGGUAAUACCGCAUACGCACGAGAGUGGAAAGUAGGGGAUCGCAAGACCUUACGUUAUAGGAGCGGCCGAUAUCUGAUUAGCUAGUUGGUGGGUAAAGGCCUACCAAGGCGACGAUCAGUAGCUGGUCUGAGAGGAUGAUCAGCCACACUGGGACUGAGACACGGCCCAGACUCCUACGGGAGGCAGCAGUGGGGAAUUUUGGACAAUGGGCGAAAGCCUGAUCCAGCCAUGCCGCGUGCGGGAAGAAGGCCUUCGGGUUGUAAACCGCUUUAGUCUAAGGAAAAGGGGUGCGAGGUUAAUACCCUCGUGCUUUGAUGGUACUGGAAGAAUAAGCACCGGCUAACUACGUG
rnacentral:rRNA from 1 species